ACAGAACAUAGCAGUCACUACCUUUAGAAGAAGCAUCCUCAAUUAGUUCUCUUUCAGGCUGGAGUUACUCCCGGGCUGGGAGUAUCCAGCUUCAGGGAAGGGCUGUCAACCCUGACCCCUGACCCCUCAGGCACGGGGUUGGCUUCUGCAGACAUUCCCAGGGCACCCCCUUCUGCCAAGCUUGGGUGUGGACAAGUGUAAUUAAUCGGGUCCUCACCACCAAAGCUUGUUCAGAUUUGUCAGUUGGUUGUUUUUUAAAUUAUUCUGUUUGUCAUUCUUCUCACUGAGGCAGCGGGCUGUUUAUCCUACAACACACAGGCAAAGGUGAAUCGUGUUAAAUGCAGGGAGGAAUUAGGGGAGAAGGAUUUGGUUUGAUGGGGAAUUUUCAGAGGAAACGAAAAUCAAGUUUAUAGAUAAAAACAAGGUAGGAAGCAAAGGAUUGGGAGAUUUUCAGCCUGUAUUACAAAGAAUCGACUCUUGCUUCUUCCUAGAUGCUGAGUCUACAUGGAUUAGAAGAGAGACGCUCACUUCAUCCAGGACACAAAGAGAGCAAGCUUGCAGAGCACUUGCCCAGGCCUGCAUCCGCCUUCCCUGCCUUCCCUCGGAUGGGGCUGGGUGAUUGCAGCGGCCUUCACCACAUUGGGUAGAAGCAGGGAGACAUGCAAAUUAGAAAACCAGGAGAUCGUCACAGCAGAUCAGUUUUCAAAAUCUGGGCUGGACAUAAACUGGAGUACUUCUAAUCUGAUCAGGACACCUGGGGCUGUGGCAGGAAGCAAAUUCUAUUUUUCAAAAGACAGGAGAAUUGCUCUGAGUAUCGUGAUGGCUCGCAUCAUCUUUUCCACCAAAAUUCCAAGACGCCUUAGCGUUGCUGGAUAUGUAUUGUAAGCCCUACAGCCUUCAUCUCAUCCAGACACUCGAGAUAAAGAAAUGUUAGCCGGAGUUUAAACCAUAAGAACAGAUAUGACUGAAAUGGACCUCAUUUCACCGGAGAUUCCCAAGUCAGAUUCACAAACACAUGGGGCGUCCUGGUGGAUAAACCUUUCCCCGGAAGACACAUUUGUGAAGAGUCUUGGCCCCCAGUGUUGAGACUGAUUCGGCGUCCUGAAAUAACAACCCGCUGCCGAGGCACUCCACUCGGAAGGGCGUGAGAGCCUGACCUCUGAGGCUGAAAUUACAGACCACCCUGUCAGGAUGCACGGAGCAUGUCGAAGAGGACGAGGCUGGUGCCCGACAGUUGACGCAGCCCGC
rnacentral:lncRNA from 1 species